ensembl:lincRNA
UUUUUAAAAAUGCAAUGAUUUGCUGUAUUGACAGGACUAGCCUGACAGGUUUAAAUCAGCUAGGAUACGUGCCCUGCAUCUAUUUCCCUUCUAAAUCCCUAAAGAUCAGGGGCAAUGUUGACCUGCAAUUAUAUCCUAAGAUUGUGCUGCUCAAGAUUCCAUUUGUGUGUGGGAAAGUAGUGGUUCAGCAACACCAGGCGGCUCUAUGAUGCUAAAACAGCAACGCAACACUCAUUAAGAACCCAGGUUUCGUCUUAUAAAACCCUUGCGGUACAAGGACUCGCAUUCAAAGCUCACGUUCCUUAAAGUUGACGCAUACCAGGCUUUCUGCGAUUUGCCCUCUCAAAGUUUCUAGUUUGCAGAAUGGAAUUACUUUGAAAGUCCCCUCUUCUAGACUCCCCAGGAGGCUUGGAGACAGGGGGGAAAGGAGACGCACGACGGUCAUCGUUCAAACAAAAAUUUAAAACCUAUAAACCAAUCACUUCUUUUUCGGAGAAGAAAAGAAGCGUUCACCCAUCCGCCACCCGGCCGGGCGAGCAUCCGAUUUCCAUCUGGAGAAAAAAAAUAUAUUAAAAAGCCAGACAUACAUUUCCCUUCCCAACAAAAGUGGCCUCUAAACUCCCUUGCCAAGGACACUGGGAGGAAGCAGAAAAGCCACGAACAAGCCCGUACUUUUUGGUCCGAGGCGCGUGUGUGCCUCGGAGAGAAGGCGCAAAGGGUGACACACCGGGGAAAAGGCAUUUCAGGAGACAAGGAGAGGCUGCUGAUCACCAGAAGCACAGCCCCACCCAUCUGGAAGAGCCCCCCAAAUAUCCUAGAGAUUCCAUAUAAGCAGCAACAUGGAAAAGAAGCCAGUAUUGCCAAGGUGAUCUGGAUUCAGGAAUAAAUGGAAAAGGCCUUCAAUCAAAAAGAAUCAUCUCCUCAGAGACCCAAACAUUGACAUUACAGCCACAGAAUGAGCCAUCUGUCACUGGGCAUUUUGGCUACAAGCUUUAUUUUGAAUCCAGAAGGAGAGAAAAGGAACUGACAGGGGUUUUGCAGGGUGAAGUCCAGGGCAAAGGUCUGAAGGACACCACUGAUGAAGGAAACCUCUCAAUGCUUCUCUGAGGGCUCUGGGCGUGCCUAUUCCCCAAGGUGAUUGUGAUGAUUCUGGAAAUGUUAUCAGGAAAGUAUUCCCUUACUAUUGUACUGCUCCAUUUUUUUUUAAAUUUUUAAUAUUUAUUUUUCAGUUUUCGGCGGACACAACAUCUUUGUUUGUAUGUGGUGCUGAGGAUCGAACCCAGGCCGCACGCAUGCCAGGCGAGCGCGCUACCCCUUGAGCCACAUCUCCAGCCCAUGUACUGCUCCAUUUUUGUUAUCUGGAAUCAAAGAUAACUUACUUAAUAACAUGGAGGAGAAAGGAACAAAAUAUUUGAAUGAUAUUAAAGAGAAUUUAAAGUCUAUGGCAAAGACUACAUAGAAAUGCUCUUCAUUUUGAAAAAUCUAUAAAAUUAGGCUUUUUAAAAAUAUUCUCCAACUUUACUUUUGAAGCAAAGUUUUCUGCUUUGAUUAAAGUUCCUCAUUUUAAAAUAGUCUGAAAAUUUACGAGGCUGGCAUUUUAGUUUAGCAAGAUGAGAUAGGGCAACAUUUGUAUUUUUAGCUGAAUGCAGUAAAUAAGGAAGAAGAGUUUAUUUUACUUGUAUGAAUAAUUAAC